UUAUAAUCUGAUAAAUUUAGUUAAAAAUAAAAAAAUAAAAAACAGUUAUUAAAAAUAUCAUGUCACUUUUAAUUUAUUUAAUUUAGUUCUAAUCGAUAUUUUAACUUUAAUUUUUGUUCAACAAUUAUUAUUAUACAUCACAAAAAUAUAAUGUAUAAGAAAAUAAGAAAACCAAAAUAAAAGUAGUGGGGUAGAGUGUUGAAUUUUAUUAAACAAAAAUAUUGGAGUGAUAGAAAAUUAAGUGGAUGUUGAAUUGUGAUGUGGAAGAAAGAGAAAAUGAUGUAAAGUGUUGAAAGCUGAGGUGGAGGGUGUUGAAUAUGAUUUUACAUUGUACAUAUCAUCUUCUACACAUUAUGAUAUGGAAGAAAGAGAAAAUGAUGUGGAGUGUUAAAAGUUAAGGUCGAGGGUGUUGAAUAUGUUUUUGCAUUGUACAUAGUCAUUUAGACUACUUGCAAUGGAGGUGUUAAAUAAAUUAUUCAACUGUUUAAUGGGGGUGUUGAAAACUAAAAAAAUAAACGUGGAUUUUUGAUUGUUGAAUCUAUUCAACAUGUUGGAUAAUUUUUUUUUAGGUCCGCGCAUGCACAUGUCACCAUUUUAUUAGAAGGUGUGUAAAAACACACCCAAAAGGCAAGUAAAGCGUUUUAUAUUAUUAUUUUCUGAUAAAAACAAAGAGAAUAUUGUGAAGCUGACACUUUUUAUAUUAUUAUUAGUAAUUGAGAUUUUAGAGAUUUUUAUCUCACCCUAUCUAUUUACAAUCAAUUAUUAUGUAGCAAAUAUAUAUAUAUUUCUUAAAAACAUUUA
rnacentral:sRNA from 1 species